AGGACAGGGGGGUCUCUGCCGUCCGGCGGGGCCUGUCCGAGAGAGGUUGCGCGAAGGCGUGGCCGGUGGUUGUCGCUCGGGGGUGAUCGCCG
rnacentral:sRNA from 1 species